UAGGGAAUCUUCGGCAAAGGACGGAAGUCUGACCGAGCAACGCCGCGUGAGUGAAGAAGGUUUUCGGAUCGUAAAGCUCUGUUGUUAGAGAAGAACGUUGGUAGGAGUGGAAAAUCUACCAAGUGACGGUAACUAACCAGAAAGGGACGGCUAACUACGUGCCAGCAGCCGCGGUAAUACGUAGGUCCCGAGCGUUGUCCGGAUUUAUUGGGCGUAAAGCGAGCGCAGGCGGUUCUUUAAGUCUGAAGUUAAAGGCAGUGGCUUAACCAUUGUACGCUUUGGAAACUGGAGGACUUGAGUGCAGAAGGGGAGAGUGGAAUUCCAUGUGUAGCGGUGAAAUGCGUAGAUAUAUGGAGGAACACCGGUGGCGAAAGCGGCUCUCUGGUCUGUAACUGACGCUGAGGCUCGAAAGCGUGGGGAGCAAACAGGAUUAGAUACCCUGGUAGUCCACGCCGUAAACGAUGAGUGCUAGGUGUUAGGCCCUUUCCGGGGCUUAGUGCCGCAGCUAACGCAUUAAGCACUCCGCCUGGGGAGUACGACCGCAAGGUUGA
rnacentral:rRNA from 1 species